GACGAACGCUGGCGGCGUGCUUAACACAUGCAAGUCGAACGGAAAGGCCCUGCUUUUGUGGGGUGCUCGAGUGGCGAACGGGUGAGUAACACGUGAGUAACCUGCCCUUGACUUUGGGAUAACUUCAGGAAACUGGGGCUAAUACCGGAUAGGAGCUCCUGCUGCAUGGUGGGGGUUGGAAAGUUUCGGCGGUUGGGGAUGGACUCGCGGCUUAUCAGCUUGUUGGUGGGGUAGUGGCUUACCAAGGCUUUGACGGGUAGCCGGCCUGAGAGGGUGACCGGCCACAUUGGGACUGAGGUACGGCCCAGACUCCUACGGGAGGCAGCAGUGGGGAAUAUUGCACAAUGGGCGGAAGCCUGACGCAGCAACGCCGCGUGCGGGAUGACGGCCUUCGGGUUGUAAACCGCUUUCGCCUGUGACGAAGCGUGAGUGACGGUAAUGGGUAAAGAAGCACCGGCUAACUACGUG
rnacentral:rRNA from 1 species